rnacentral:rRNA from 1 species
UAGGGAAUCUUCGGCAAUGGACGGAAGUCUGACCGAGCAACGCCGCGUGAGUGAAGAAGGUUUUCGGAUCGUAAAGCUCUGUUGUAAGAGAAGAACGAGUGUGAGAGUGGAAAGUUCACACUGUGACGGUAUCUUACCAGAAAGGGACGGCUAACUACGUGCCAGCAGCCGCGGUAAUACGUAGGUCCCGAGCGUUGUCCGGAUUUAUUGGGCGUAAAGCGAGCGCAGGCGGUUAGAUAAGUCUGAAGUUAAAGGCUGUGGCUUAACCAUAGUACGCUUUGGAAACUGUUUAACUUGAGUGCAAGAGGGGAGAGUGGAAUUCCAUGUGUAGCGGUGAAAUGCGUAGAUAUAUGGAGGAACACCGGUGGCGAAAGCGGCUCUCUGGCUUGUAACUGACGCUGAGGCUUGAAAGCGUGGGGAGCAAACAGGAUUAGAUACCCUGGUAGUCCACGCCGUAAACGAUGAGUGCUAGGUGUUAGACCCUUUCCGGGGUUUAGUGCCGCAGCUAACGCAUUAAGCACUCCGCCUGGGGAGUACGACCGCAAGGUUG